UCCGGGACAGUUUAGUAAACUGUCCGGGACAGUUUAGUAAACAGUUAGGGACAGUUUACAAACCGUCCCGGACUGUUUGUAAACUGUCCCGGACAGUUUAGAAUAGUUUUGGACCAGUUCGUACACCAUAUUUCUGACAUCCUGGAGAUUUCCACAAUAAGCAAAAUGUUCCAUCCAUGUUAUAAACU